rnacentral:rRNA from 1 species
UACCAGCACCCCGAGUGGUCGGGACGUUUUAUUGGGCCUAAAGCAUCCGUAGCCGGUUCUACAAGUCUUCCGUUAAAUCCAUCUGCUUAACAGAUGGGCUGCGGAAGAUACUAUAGAGCUAGGAGGCGGGAGAGGCAAGCGGUACUCGAUGGGUAGGGGUAAAAUCCGUUGAUCCAUUGAAGACCACCAAUGGCGAAGGCGGCUUGCCAGAACGCGCUCGACGGUGAGGGAUGAAAGCUGGGGGAGCAAACCGG